UACGUAGGGCGCAAGCGUUAUCCGGAAUUAUUGGGCGUAAAGAGCUCGUAGGCGGUUUGUCGCGUCUGCCGUGAAAAUCCGAGGCUCAACCUCGGACUUGCAGUGGGUACGGGCAGACUAGAGUGCGGUAGGGGAGACUGGAAUUCCUGGUGUAGCGGUGAAAUGCGCAGAUAUCAGGAGGAACACCGGUGGCGAAGGCGGGUCUCUGGGCCGUAACUGACGCUGAGAAGCGAAAGCGUGGGGAGCGAACAGG
rnacentral:rRNA from 1 species